AUUGAACGCUGGCGGCAUGCCUUACACAUGCAAGUCGAACGGCAGCACGGGAGCAAUCCUGGUGGCGAGUGGCGAACGGGUGAGUAAUAUAUCGGAACGUGCCCAGUAGUGGGGGAUAACUGCUCGAAAGAGCAGCUAAUACCGCAUACGACCUAAGGGUGAAAGGGGGGGAUCGCAAGACCUCUCGCUAUUGGAGCGGCCGAUAUCAGAUUAGCUAGUUGGUGGGGUAAAGGCCUACCAAGGCAACGAUCUGUAGUUGGUCUGAGAGGACGACCAGCCACACUGGGACUGAGACACGGCCCAGACUCCUACGGGAGGCAGCAGUGGGGAAUUUUGGACAAUGGGCGCAAGCCUGAUCCAGCAAUGCUGCGUGCAGGAAGAAGGCCUUCGGGUUGUAAACUGCUUUUGUCAGGGAAGAAAUCCUCUAGGUUAAUACCCUUGGGGGGAUGACGGUACCUGAAGAAUAAGCACCGGCUAACUACGUGCCAGCAGCCGCCGCGGUAA
rnacentral:rRNA from 1 species